AGGUAGCUGAUUGAUGGUGCUUGUCAGAGCGGCAAGGCCAUCAUCUGCAAUCCAAUAGUGCAAUUGAUCUUGAACUUGAUGGUGGGACUGCAAGUCUUCAUCCAGAAAUAGGAGCCAUAAAAGGUAAUACUCGAAUCAAAUGGAGUCCCCAAUGGCUGAUCGAUGGUGCUUGUCAGAGCGACAAGGCCAUCAUCUGCAAUCCAAUGGGGCAAUUGAUCUUGAACUGGAUGGUGGGACUGCAAGUAUUCAUCCAGAAAUAUGACUCACAAAAGUUAAUACUCGAGCCAAAUGGAGUCACCAAAUGAAGUUGUUCCUUGUUAGACUCCUAAAAGAUCACGAUGUGCCUGGUUUUCGGACACAUAAUGCUUGGAGUAAGGAGGCAUGGAGAAAUAUUGUUUCUCGACUAAAUCAAAAGGUUGGAAGGUCUACAACUAGGAGAUAUGUUGAUGGCAUCAGAUAUCUUCAAAUGCAAGGAGAACAGGGAAAUUUUCUUGUCAUACUCUACUAAUGAACUACGACUGGCUUGGCUUAAAAGAGAGAUUGUGCGUGCCCA